GACAGAGGGGGCAAGCGUUGUCCGGACUGACUGGGCGUAAAGAGCGCGCAGGCGGUCGUUCAAGUCGAGUGUGAAAGCCCCCGGCUCAACUGGGGAGGGUCAUUCGAUACUGAUCGACUCGAAGGCAGGAGAGGGUAGUGGAAUUCCCGGUGUAGUGGUGAAAUGCGUAGAUAUCGGGAGGAACACCAGUGGCGAAGGCGACUACCUGGCCUGUUCUUGACGCUGAGGCGCGAAAGCUAGGGGAGCAAACGGGG
rnacentral:rRNA from 1 species